UGAAGAAUGGGUAGACAUGAGAAAGAAGGGGUGGUUUAGGUUGGAUAUUAGGAAAAACUUCUUUGCUGAGAGGGUUGUUAGGCAUUGGAAUGGGCUGCCCAGGGAAGUGGUCGAGUUACUACCCAUGGAGGUCUUUGAAAGACGUUUAAAUGUAGAGCUUAGUGAUAGGGUUUAGUGGAGGACUUGUUAGUGUUAGGUCAGAGAUUGGACUAGGUGAUCUUGGAGGUCUCUUCCAACCCAGCUGAUUCUGU